GAUGAACGCUAGCGGCAGGCUUAAUACAUGCAAGUCGAGGGGCAGCGCAGUGUAGCAAUACAUGGGCGGCGACCGGCAAACGGGUGCGGAACACGUACGCAACCUUCCUUUAAGUGGGGGAUAGCCCAGGGAAACUUGGAUUAAUACCCCGUAAUAUUAUGAAGUGGCAUCACUUUAUACUUAUAGCUCCGGCGCUUAAAGAUGGGCGUGCGGCUGAUUAGGUAGUUGGCGGGGUAACGGCCCACCAAGCCUGCGAUCAGUAACUGGUGUGAGAGCUCGAACAGUAACACGGGCACUGUGGCACGGGCCAGGCUCCUACGAGAGUCAGCAGUAAGGAAGAGUGGUCAAUGGAGGCAAGUCUGAACCAGCCAUGCCGCGUGGAGGAUGAAGGUCCUCUGGAUUGUAAACUUCUUUUAUUUGGGAAGAAACCCACUGUUUGUACGGUGGUUGACGGUACCAGAUGAAUAAGCACCGGCUAACUCCGUGCCAGCAGCCGCAGUAA
rnacentral:rRNA from 1 species